CACGUAGGCACCAAGCGUUGUCCGGAUUUAUUGGGCGUAAAGAGCUCGUAGGCGGUUCAGUAAGUCGGGUGUGAAAACUCUGGGCUCAACCCAGAGCCGCCACUCGAUACUGCUGUGACUUGAGUUCGGUAGGGGAGCGGGGAAUUCCUAGUGUAGCGGUGAAAUGCGCAGAUAUUAGGAGGAACACCGGUGGCGAGGGCGCCGCUCUGGGCCGAUACUGACGCUGAGGAGCGAAAGCGUGGGUAGCAAACAGG
rnacentral:rRNA from 1 species